rnacentral:lncRNA from 1 species
CCAUGUUCCACAUUUUGAUGUGAUGUGGGGAAAGUAGAGAUUCUUGGGGCAAUGCUUUUAUGCAGGUGUCUGCCGAGAAUACUCCAAUGGUAUGAACUAUGUCUGAUAGGUCUCAUAUCCCCGUUGUAUUUUUCUAUUUAAAUACUUUGGAUUUUGUUUCAAAAACUAUUUCCACUGUUUGUAAAUAUUGUUGACUUUUGUCG